GACGAACGCUGGCGGCGUGCUUAACACAUGCAAGUCGAACGGAAAGGCCCUGCUUUUGUGGGGUGCUCGAGUGGCGAACGGGUGAGUACACGUGAGUAACCUGCCCUUGACUUUGGGAUAACUUCAGGAAACCGGGGCUAAUACCGGAUAGGAGUCCCUGCCGCAAGGUGGGGGUUGGAAAGUUUCGGCGGUUGGGGUUGGACCCGCGGCUUAUCAGCUUGUUGGUGGGGUAGUGGCUUACCAAGGCUUUGACGGGUAGCCGGCCUGAGAGGGUGACCGGCCACAUUGGGACUGAGAUACGGCCCAGACUCCUACGGGAGGCAGCAGUUGGGAAGAUUGAACAAUGGGCGGAAGCCUGAUGCAGCAACGCCGCGUGCGGGAUGACGGCCUUCGGGUUGUAAACCGCUUUCGCCUGUGACGAAGCGUGAGUGACGGUAAUGGGUAAAGAAGCACCGGCUAGCUACGUG
rnacentral:rRNA from 1 species